rnacentral:tRNA from 1 species
GGGGCAUUAGUUCAGGGGGAGAACGCUUCACUGGCAGUGAAGAGGUCAGCGGUUCGAAUCCGCUAUGCUCCA